UACCAGCACCCCGAGUGGUCGGGACGUUUUAUUGGGCCUAAAGCAUCCGUAGCCGGUUCUACAAGUCUUCCGUUAAAUCCACCUGCUUAACAGAUGGGCUGCGGAAGAUACUAUGGAGCUAGGAGGCGGGAGAGGCAAGCGGUACUCGAUGGGUAGGGGUAAAAAUCCGUUGAUCCAUUGAAGACCACCAGUGGCGAAGGCGGCUUGCCAGAACGCGCUCGACGGUGAGGGAUGAAAGCUGGGGGAGCAAACCGG
rnacentral:rRNA from 1 species